AGACGACGCUGGCGGCGUGGAUUAGGCAUGCAAGUCGGACGGUAGGGCUUUAUUGUAAGAUAGAGUUUGAGAGUGGCGAACGGGUGAGUAACACGUAGGAAUCUACCCUUAAGACGGGACAACCCAGGGAAACUUGGGCUAAUACCGGAUGAGAGUGCGAGAGAUUGCAUUUAAAAGGAUGGCGAAAGUUGUCGCUUAGGGAUGAGCCUGCGGUCUAUUAGUUAGUUGGUGAGGUAAGAGCUCACCAAGGCGAUGAUAGAUAGGCGGCCUUAACGGGUGGUCGCCCACACUGGGAUUGAGAUACGGCCCAGACUCCUACGGGAGGCAGCAGUCGAGAAUAGUCUACAAUGGCCGGAAGGCUGAUAGUGCGACGCCGCGUGAACGAGGGAGCCCUUCGGGGUGUAAAGUUCUUUUCUAUACGAGCAGUGCUAUAUAUAUGGAUAGUAUAUAUAGAGGGAUAGUAGUAUAGGAAUAAGCAACGGCUAACUCCGUG
rnacentral:rRNA from 1 species